rnacentral:rRNA from 1 species
UGGGGAAUUUUGGACAAUGGGCGCAAGCCUGAUCCAGCCAUGCCGCGUGCGGGCAGAAGGCCUUCGGGUUGUAAACCGCUUUUGUCAGGGAAGAAAAGGUUCUGGCUAAUACCUGGGACUCAUGACGGUACCUGAAGAAUAAGCACCGGCUAACUACGUGCCAGCAGCCGCGGUAAUACGUAGGGUGCAAGCGUUAAUCGGAAUUACUGGGCGUAAAGCGUGCGCAGGCGGUUAUGCAAGACAGAGGUGAAAUCCCCGGGCUCAACCUGGGAACUGCCUUUGUGACUGCAUGGCUAGAGUACGGUAGAGGGGGAUGGAAUUCCGCGUGUAGCAGUGAAAUGCGUAGAUAUGCGGAGGAACACCGAUGGCGAAGGCAAUCCCCUGGACCUGUACUGACGCUCAUGCACGAAAGCGUGGGGAGCAAACAGG